CGGUACUACGAUAAGCUUAGGAUGUGAAACAAAAUCUAAUCAAACACUGUUAGUAAUACCAAAAUUGAAUUUAUAUCAAAUUUUAACCAAAGUUGCAGUUUUCAACUAUCAUCAACUGCAGACCUGCAGUUUCGAUCAAUAGCAAUUCAAACAAAGUUCUCCCAAUUUUCAUUAUAAGGAAAACGUUAAGGCGUAAUGAGUAGAUGAAGAAGAUCAACCGAAGUCAAGUGACAACGAAACAGAGAUAUCUACCAGCAAGACUAAUGUUGAUAAAGAAAAGAAUUCGUGUUCAGAUGACUUUGAUGACAGUACUGUCUAGGGCUGAUAUUAGUCUAGUGGAAUAUGGUGGCAUUUGCAACUAUACAAUUCCAAGAGUUGCCUCGCGUAAUCAAAUUAACAGCACUUCCUAUGAAUGAUGUUGAGAAAUAUGGACUAAAGGCAAUUGAUUUCUCCUUGGUUAAUAAAGGAACGGGGGAUCGCUUAUAGUUUAUGCAAGGAUCAAAUGGAAACUAUAGGAUUAUAAUGAGAUGACUGGAUGAAGCAUUGACCAGAUGUUGCAUAGGUGAAGAAGAAGAAGAUUAACAUCUCUUCCUCAUUUCCUUAUCCAUCUUUAUAUAUAGGAUGGAAAAGGAAGCUACAUAUUACGAAGAACAAUCAAGAACUAGUAUUUUUUUUUUUUGACGGUAGGAACUAGUAUUAGUUAGAGAUGAAUUUUGUUUUUUUUUUCUUUUGCAAAAAGAUUGGAAAAUUGUUUCUGAAGCAAACGAUGUGAGGAUUUGUUAUAUUCAAAUCCAUUAUCAUGUACAGAUAAUUAUUAUCAAUAUUUAUUAUGUUUUUUCUUA